rnacentral:rRNA from 1 species
UACGGGGGGAGCAAGCGUUGUUCGGAUUUACUGGGCGUAAAGGGCGCGUAGGCGGCCACCGCAAGUCGGUUGUGAAAUCUCCGGGCUUAACCCGGAAAGGUCAAUCGAUACUGCGGGGCUAGAGUGCAGAAGGGGCAACUGGAAUUCUCGGUGUAGCGGUGAAAUGCGUAGAUAUCGAGAGGAACACCUGCGGCGAAGGCGGGUUGCUGGGCUGACACUGACGCUGAAGCGCGAAAGCAUGGGGAGCGAACAGG